rnacentral:rRNA from 1 species
CUGCCAGGUUAGAGUGCAGGAGAGGCAGGUGGAAUUCCCGGUGUAGCGGUGAAAUGCAUAGAGAUCGGGAGGAAUACCAGUGGCGAAGGCGUCCUUCUGGACUGACACUGACGCUGAGGCGCGAAAGCGUGGGUAGCAAACAGGAUUAGAUACCCUGGUAGUUCACGCCGUAAACGAUGUCGACCAGCCGUUGGACCCCUUGAGGGUCUGGUGGCGCAGUUAACGCAAUAAGUCGACCGCCUGGGGAGUACGGCCGCAAGGCUAAAACUCAAAUGAAUUGACGGGGGCCCGCACAAGCGGUGGAGCAUGUGGUUUAAUUCGAUGCAACGCGAAGAACCUUACCUGCCCUUGACAUCCUGCGAACCCGGAAGAGAUUCCGGGGUGCCUUCGGGAACGCAGAGACAGGUGCUGCAUGGCUGUCGUCAGCACGUGUUGUGAAAUGUUGGGUUAAGUCCCGUAACGAGCGCAACCCCUAUCCCUUUUUGCCAGCGGUCCGGCCGGGAACUUCAGGGAGACUGCCGGUGACAAACCGGAGGAAGGUGGGGACGACGUCAAGUCAUCAUGGCCCUUACGGGCAGGGCUACACACGUGCUACAAUGGCCGGUACAAAGGGUUGCGAAGCGGCGACGUGAAGCCAAUCCCGCAAAGCCGGCCUCAGUCCGGAUCGGAGUCUGCAACUCGACUCCGUGAAGUCGGAAUCGCUAGUAAUCGUGGAUCAGAAUGCCACGGUGAAUACGUUCCCGGGCCUUGUACACACCGCCCGUCACACCAUGGGAGUGGACUGCACCAGAAGUGGUUAGCUUAACCUUCGGGAGAGCGAUCACCACGGUGUGGUUCAUGACUGGGGUGAAGUCGUAACAAGGUAACC